GGCCCCAGGUCACACAACCACACUCAAGAGCCACCCCUCUCAGCAAGAGCCGAGAAACCUCCCAGCACUAACACAUGGUACAUUCAGUGGUCCUGAGUCCUACGUCUGCGGCACCCAUGGAUUCAACCAAGCUUGCAUGAGGAACAUUGGAGGAAAAGAUUCCGUCUGUUCUGAACGUGUGCAGCAUUUUUGUGGCUGAUACCUAGGCAGUGCAUAAUGAGGAUGGACAUCGUAUUGGGUACGAGAUUCCCUUGUGCAUCUGGAUCCUGCCUCGACCUCCAGGCCAUCGACCGCAUACAUUAUUGAUGUGUAGAAGAUGGCUGGUGGUGUGGGGUGGUCUGCUAUGCUCACAGAGAAAAGGCAUGCUACAACCAGAAGGUACAUGGGAAGAGGAGCUCCUUAAACAAGAACCCCACUCAGGCAAAUAUAGGGGUGGGAUGCACCCUGGAUAUUGACCGUUGGCUCGUAGUGUAGUCAUAAUAGUGUCAUGGUGUCUCCAUCAGGGACACCCUGUCAUUUAUUUAACUGUGUCCUGUGCACUGAUCCCUUAAACCCCAUCACAGUAAAAAACUUCUCCUGAUGUUUCUAAACUUGUACUAGAGGCUGGCUACUGGGAAAAGGCACUGGCUGCCAAGCCUGACAACCUAAGUUAGAUCCCUGGGACUCACAGUAGAAAGAAAAGAACCAAUACCUGUAAGUUCUGUGUAUAUGUUGCACGUGCACACACACAAGGGACAUGGCUACAUAGUGUCCUUUGGUGAGACAUCAUUCUGAACAGUCACUUGUCAGGGCUGGGAUACUAGGAACCAAAAUUUAGGAACUAGAUGGGACAGAACAAGCUGCCAUGGGUCCACAGCAAGGUGGAGGGGCUCCUGGUGAUGGCGAGUCUCCCUUUUAAGAGUCAUCUGCGGUAAACUCCAUUAAAAGAGUUCUCAGCCGCACACCCUAGGCAAUCUCUCUAGUUUUAUACCCAAUUCCAUCUUCCCUUGGGGAUGAAGAAAUGAUGUUUGGGAAGAGGCUUCCAGAAUCUGGAUCUCUCAUCUGUGCACCCUUUGACCGGUGGAUCUCAACCAGAGGCAAUUUCGGAUGUCACAACUGGAGAGGGGACAACGGGCAUCUGUUGAAUAGACUAGGCCUACAACGACAAUAGCAGUCAUCACCCAACAGAGUGACACAGGCCAAUACCAAUGACCAGACUGAGGUUGAGGAAGGCUGGUUUUACCCAUCUAAGUCAAAACUGGUGAGAGACGCUAGGAAGCCCACCAGGUCUUGGUCAGGCCCGGAAUUUGCCACCUUUCUUUGCAAGAACUUGGCUUUCUUUUAGCUCCACCCGGAAUUUCAGGUGAAGCUCCUCCUCCAAGGUCUUGGCUGUAAACUGCAACUCAGUUUCCUCAGCUCCUCUCACUGGCUUCCUGCUUCACCUGGGCACCCCAACCUGAAAUGAGCAGUGCCAAGUCGGCACCCACACCUCUGAACCCACGCAGUGUCCUUGCACACAGAGUCUUCGUUUCCUUUCUGACACAGGAAGUGGACCCUCUCGUGCUCUCUGUUUUCAUGGCCACAGGUAAAGCCCUUUUCUCCUUCCAGGGUGGAUAUGGGUUUUGCAGCAGCAUCUGGUUCUCUGAUUUCUGGAACUAGAGCCCAACUUCCCUCUGGAGCUGGGCGUCUGGUCUGAGUCAAGUGGCAGAAGUCCUUAGAAGUAGAGCUAGUGUAGAGACCAAGGGGCCUUUAGCAGGUGGGGCUUGAUGGGUCACCUUUGAUAGCUAAUGGCCUGGCUUUUUAGAUCCAGCAGCAGAGUCCUGGUCUAUGGCCAUGUGAACGACCGAUGCCAUACACUGCCACCGCCAUGCCAUCCCGCCAGGAUGAAAUCUCAACCGUGAACCAAAAUAUCCCUUUCAUUUUGUUUUGAUCAGUUAUUUUGUGUGUCAAGAAAUGUAGCUGUGAUGGGUUAUAUCAACUUGAUAGGCUCUGGACUCACCUAGGAGACAAGUUCUUGGACAUGACCAUGAGGAGUUGAUUAUCUGGAUUAGGCUAACCGAGCUGGGUAUACCCAUACUAAAAGUAGGCCACACCAUACACUGGGCUGAGGUCCCAGACUGCAUAAGGAGACCAUGAGCUGAGCACUAACGUUCAUCCCUCCCUACCUCCUGAUUGUGUAUUCAGUGUGACCAGCUGCCUUAAGAUCCUACAGCUUUGACUUCUCUGUCCUGAUCAAUUAUACCCUCCAACUUUGACCCGAGAUAAACCCUUUCUCCUCUUAAGUUCUGAUGUCGGAGUCUAUUCUUAUAGCAACGAGAGAAGUAGAAUUGUAGGUAAUGCAGCAUCCAGGUAGGCUUGGCCAAUCUGGACACUGUCCUACUCUGGCUGAAAUGAUUGGUUCACAAAUAGGUACAUGGCCUGAAAUAGAUCAGUGAAUUAUCAGGAGGAUUUGACCUGUUUGAGAGUGAGGUUGACUGGGAGGCAACGGCUAGGGGGUUGAUCUGAGUUCUAUCCCAUUGAAAGGCAGCUGGAAUUACCAGCAUCCAAUGAACUACAUCAUUUGAAUGAAACCAAUUUGAUCUGGGUUUCUGCCACUUGUCAACAAGUUCUCAAAAACCCAGAGUAAUGGCCUCUUUUUGCCCCAUAUCUAGGCAUAUAGAUGAAACCAGGCAUGGCUAGACACCACAGGAGAGAGCUCAGUUGUCGAAAAGUAGUCACUAUUUGUCUCUGAGGAUGAUUGUAGGGUGUGACCUCCCAAUUCCACAGAACUAUGUAUGGAAUGGGGAGGGUUACACUGAAUCCAAAGCCACUUGCUCACAUAGGGUUUCUAGGGGGUCAUAUAUUUCUGUCACAUUGAUAACUACAGUAACUGCUUCCCGGGCUCCCAGACACAUGUAGUUAACAUCUAAGAAUCUGCCUAAGGGAAUAAGAUAUGGUGGUACAGGCCUGUAAUCCUGGUAUUUGGGAGGUUGGAGAGAGAGGAUCAUAGCCAGCCUGGGCUACAUGGUAACUUCUAGUCCAGCCUGAGCUACUAUCAUUGAGAAACUUUAGCUCACAAAUCAAACAAGCUGACAUAAUCUACAGAACAAUCCUAGAGGCAAGUGCUAAGGCUGUCUCAUUUCAUCGAGAUAAUGCUGUGCAGAAUGGGGAGAGGAGCUGCUUGACCAAGGUCACAUGCUGACAGAAGAGUGGAGCCUGAGGCAAACAAGUGUCUUAUUGUUGCUGGGCUUUCUCUAGACCAGAACUUGUAGGAGAGUCACUGGUGACUUUUGCUUGGCAACUGAUCUGCAAGAGUCCUCCCUGCCCCCACUUCAUAUUAUGCCAGGGCAUUUGAUCCCUGACUUUGUUGUAUGGAUCACAAUGUGUGUGUGUGUGUGUGUGUGUGUGUGUGUGUGUGUGUGUGUGUGUGUGUCUGUGCACUAUUGUCCUCAUCCAAGCAGACACUUCAGACUAGAGGUUGACUUUGGAUGUUUUCCUUUAUGAUGGGCCACAUUUUUUGAGACAUGGGGCCUCUCGCCGAUCCUGGAUUUGAGAGUCCAUUCUAUAGACUGCCCGGUAAGCCUCUGUGUGUCUCCAACACCCAGCACUGGAGUUAGAGAUGUGGAUGGCCACAGGGAUGCUUGCAGUUUUACCUCCAGCUCAGUUUCCCCUUAUUCACCUUUUGGCAUGUUCCUCUCCACCCACCAGCAGCUCGGGCCCUCAUCCGUUUGCUCUGGCCUUCAGCUGCUGAAAGAAUGGCCUUACCUUACAGGCUCUAACUCUCGCAGGGCUUCUAAGGGUGCAUACCGGGUGCCAUCAUUUCCUUAUGUACAGGAGGGAAGGAGGCUGAGGGGGGGGCUUAACUCAGAGACUCUUAGACUGCCUCAGGCCUGCAGGCCACACUCAGGUGCAGACUUCUGUUCAUCUGUCCUUCUGUCUGUCUGAAUGAGGCCAUGAAGAGAAGGAGCCCCAAGCAGGCCCUACCCCUUCUACCUGAAAUGCCCCUCGUCAGGUAACCCCCUCCUUUCAAUCAGACACCUGCUGCCUCCCACCUCCAAGAGCACGAUGUGAACAAUACCAGAUUAGAGGUUCCAAGGCAGCCUCAAGGCAGGGCUGCCUGGGACGGAUGAAUGCAUGGCAGCAAACCAUGGGGGUGAGGGUAGCGGCUCCUCAAACAGAGUAAAGAAGAAAUGGGAAUGGAUACACAAGCAAAGGCUCACAUACUAAUUACCUCCGCUGCCAGCCAGGCGCUCAGAAACCUGUGACUCACUCGGAUGCUCUUAAAUAUACUGCGAAACACAUACACCCACCCUCCACACACCACACCAUACACAACACACACACACACCCCUCAUACCACAUACACCAAACUCUUCUCUCUCUCAUACACUCAUCCCCCAUCUCCCCCCCCCCACAACACACUGUCUACAGAGGAGCCAGAAGCCCCCAGCAGAUGGAGAAACAGUUUCCCCCACCGUUCUGAGUGCUGGCUCCAAAGAGACCAUGGAGGACACUAUAGGACCUUAUUUGUGUGAGCAGGACAAGCACUGCUUCUUUUAGCCCGAGUCUCCCUACCCAAGCACUUCAGAGUCAGAUCCCCCUCCCAUUUCAGAUCCUAUCCUGGGGCUGGGGAGUGGUUCAGUGUGCACACGGUCCAGCAGGUGCUGGGUCCUAAUCCCAGCCCAGAGCAUUGCUAGCCCACUCCAACACUGAGUUGCUCACCUAACCUAGCUUCAGCUUCUUCCUCGUCAAAGUGAGGGUAAGAACAGCACCCAUGGGAUUGUGGUGAGGACGGAGGUAACUAUCAGAAGUGAGAUGGGGGCAUUCACCUGUAAUCCUAGUGUUGGAGAAGCUAAGGCAGGAGGAUCUCAAGUUUGAGCCCAGGUUCAAACAGGAGGUGGGGACUGUGGCAUGGACAAGUGGAUAAAGUGUAGAGCAAGAGUGAAGAGCAGAGUUCAGAUCCCCAGCACUCAUUUAAAAGUUGGGCUUUGGUAUUGGCCAGCCUGUGGCAGGGGGUGGAGGUGGAGAUGGAUUACCCAGGGCAAGCUGUCUAGCUAGCCUAGCUGAAUUGGCAUGUUCAGGAUUUAGUAAGUGACUCUGCUUCAAUAAAUAGUGACAAAAAACCCUACAACUUCUGUCAAGUUGUCAACUUCUGGCCCUCCAUAUGUACAUACAUCCCAUAUGCACACACAGGCAUAAGCAAACAUGAGUGCACAGUCAUGUACACACACACACACACACACACACACACACACACACACACACACACACACACUAUAGGGUGUAGGACACUAGUUAAUGUAAAGAAAUGUAAAAGAUUGGUAAGUAUUCCACUGUCUGCAGGGGUAAGUUCUCCUGCUAUGGAUUUCCUAGGAGGGGCUGUUGCCAUGGAGAUGGAAUCGUGAGGGGCUCUCCCAUCUGUUUAUCUAUCACUGGGCUCCAGCUUCUCCUAUCAUAUGCUACAGCCAACAGGUCUUUAAGGCGUCAAGCCUUCUGAUGGGAACAGGAGUCCUCAGUGUGAGACUCACUGUCAAGGUUGAACUCAGGCCAGUGACCCUGAAACCAGCCAGGGCUAGUAGGUAUUCAGAGCCAAAGCUGCUGGAGACCACACACCAGGCCUUCUCCUGGGAGCCCAGGAACUCAGAUUGUUUUGGUCAUCCUUCCUGUUGAACCUCUUUGGAAACACUUGGCGAUCAGAGAUGAGCCCGGGUUGACAAUGAAGAUUCACCGUCUCUGGAUAUUUCAUAUGAAUUCAGCCACAGCAGUUUUUACAACUGGCCUUGUUUUCUGAGCACACCUUUCCAGUGCACCACUGGGUAGCGCAGCCGGUUGGCACUUUAUUGUUUGAUGGCUACAUGCUGCUUCACUGUGUGUCUUGUGACUUGCACUUAUCCCCUUGAUGAUGGACAGAUGGGUUUUCCCCGGAGUGAUCGUCGUUACUAACACAGCAGGGAACAUUCCGGCUUCCAGUUGCUAAGAAAAAGACUCAGCAUGUACAUGUGUGGCACUGUCAACCAUGUCCAAGGACACAAAUCAUACAGCAAUGGAGGUGAUAAUGAACAGUCUUUGAAAGAAGCACCACAAAAACCCAGGCUAAGGUGUUUGCCCUUAGCAGCAGCUGUUUAUGUGACGGGCUUCAUCUUCCAAACCUGGCCUGAAAGAAAAGGCUUACAAUUUUUAAAGUUAAAAUGAAAGCAUCUUC